rnacentral:rRNA from 1 species
CGGAUGGGGCUAGCGUUGUUCGGAAUUACUGGGCGUAUAGGGCGCGUAGGCGGCCAUUUAAGUUAGACGUGAAAGCCCUGGGCUUAACCUAGGAAUUGCGUUUAAUACUGGAUGGCUAGAGUUUGGUAGAGGAAAGCGGAAUUCCUAGUGUAGAGGUGAAAUUCGUAGAUAUUAGGAAGAACACCAGAGGCGAAGGCGGCUUUCUGGACCAAUACUGACGCUGAGGCGCGAAAGCGUGGGGAGCAAACAGGAUUAGAUACCCUGGUAGUCCACGCUGUAAACGAUGAAUGCUAAACGUUGGGGACUUUGUCUUCAGUGUUGCAGCUAACGCAUUAAGCAUUCCGCCUGGGGAGUACGGUCGCAAGAUUA